UUGUACCAUAUAAUAGUGAAAAUUUAUUUUCCGAACGUAUUAGAUUAUCAUUCAAACUUUUGGAGGAAUAUGGAAAGUUUAGCGUCAUUGCAUGCCUAUGGAAGAAAACAGGCGUAUUAUGAUUUAUUAUUCCUGCUGAUGCUAGCAAGAUUGGAGAUCUUCUUAGUUAGAAAGGAUGACACACAAUUAAUUUCUGGAACAAGAGUGAAACUGUUUCUGGAAAUUGGUUGCACAUAUGAGCACGAUCAGUACAGAGAUGUGUGAAGAUGAAUUAUAAAGGGGAAGGAGCAAAUUAUACGGAAAAGUGGAACGAGCAAAUUGUUAUUUCCG
rnacentral:lncRNA from 1 species